CUUCAUCACUUUUCUAUAUGCUGAAUUGCCCUGAUUCCUUUUAAACAAGAUUUCUAACAUCCAUUUUGUUCUUGCCUAAAAAAAGCCAUCUUGCCUUUUAUUUGAUGACGAAGAAAAACAGACAAGCGCAAUGCAGGUUUGUGGUAUAAGAAACAUGCAAUGAAACUCUGGUCACGCCAUCAUAGUACAAAGGGACUUUAAACAGUAUGCUAUCAAUCACGUACUCCUCGUCAAACUCAUGGUACUAUCGGUGAAAUUUCGACAUUGUAAAACUUGUGCAAAAACGGUCAUCCUACGUCAUCGAAUUUUUAUGGUGCUGUCGGAACAGUGUGUUCUGUGCAAAGACUAUUGAAGGUCACAUUGCUUAAGACUUAUUUGGAAAUUACGAUUGAAAGGGGAAAUGGAAGAAGGAAGAAUCUCCUUUCACGGCCACCAAGACCAUCUAACGGCGGGAAUAUAAAACUGUACUAAUGUUUACUGACGUGCUGUCAGAAUUGAUUAAUCUGAAGCUAUGACUGUGUUUAUCUCAUGUUUUGGUGACGAAUUCUUCGAUCUUAUUAUUUAAUCGCAUGGUUACAUCAAAGAUAUCUUCCUAACAAUUCAAGGGGUAAUACAAAUGAAUCAUCGACUGGCAAUUAUUUUGCUAUUUCUGAGAUUUUGUCCAUUUCCAUUUUCUGAGUGUUUGUUCUGGAUGCAAGGAGUAUUGCAAUUCUUCUCCAUCUGGAUGCCUUACUCCAGUAACAAAAGUUGCUUCUAAAAAGUAAUGCAACCCUACGCCCUCCCCACCCCACGUUUGGUUUACGAUUUACAACUCUAGAUGGCAUCCCCGUCAGCCUGUUUAUGAAACUGUUGUUGACCGUUUUCAAGUUUUGCAGUAGUCGUUUGAAAGCUCAAUUUUGCAGUCAAAACUAAUUUGAAACUAUAAUUACGUAGUUUGGCAAGUUUAACUACUCAGAUUUUUUCUUUUGAAAUUUUUCAACUUUAAACGGAAGCUCGUAACAUAAUGGUCGAUACGCGCAGAGCAUUGUCUUCUAAACUUAAAAAAAAGCUUCUUGAAAAACUGACCCGUAUGCCAAGGCUGAAAAUGGGGAACAAACUGCUCAUAUUUUUUACAUUGAGCUAUUUUGCUCACAUGAAGCAACUUGCAAAGAUGGCUACUCUCAAUUCCUUGAUGGAAAAAAAACGGGCCAUAGCCAGUAAACAUGUUAUAGAAGCUCAUCAGGCUAUUGUGGAAAAAACCAAAAUGCAGAGAAAACAAAGAACAUUGGAUGAAAUGCUUAAACAUCAUAGUAAAGCUUUAAGAAGUCCAACCGAUCUCUAAAAAUUUGUAUUGUUCUUCGCAUUUCUCCUAUUUAUUCACUUCCUCAAUUAAUGGCAUCAAAAAUUCUUUCAAUUCCUGAUAGGCUUUAUCAAGUUGGUCAUUCACAAUUACAAUGUCAAAAUUACUGGGGUCACUUCCUGGAGAGUAAGCAAACAAUUUAAAUAAAUGUGAACAAACACUUCUAAAAUGGUAUACCAUAUUCCAUCUCAGCUUUUGCUGUUAGAAGUCGUUUUUGGAGACUCUCUUCACUUUCAGUGUUUCGUCCCCUAAGUCUUUGCUCUAGCACUUCCAUUGAAGGAGGCUUCAUAAAAAUGAAAACAGGAUUAAGAGAUGUUUGUCUUAUAGACUUCACACCCUGAGUAUCAAUAUCCAAAAUGCAUAUUUUAUUGCCGCGCUG